rnacentral:lncRNA from 1 species
UUAGGGAUAGCUGGCAGCACUCCUGGGAUAGGAGUUGCCACUGGAGUAAUGUCCUCUGCUGGAGCUUCUGUUUCAGGAGCAAGGGGGUCUGCACUGUCUUCAUCUCCAGAUUCUUCUGCAGCAACAGGGCUGAUGGUGGUGGCUGCAGGUGUUUGACCACUUGGCAAAGUGGUGGCAGGGCCUAUCUGUUAUAAUGGAUGGAUGCAUUAAUGUAUUAGAUAUGAAGAUACCCUUAUACUUCUUAGAUAUUAGUAAAAACCAAUUAGAAACUAUGCAUCGUCAUAUUAAGAAAUCACUUCCUAUAAUAAGUUCAAUCUCAUUCCUUUGUUUAAAUCAUGCAUAAAGAUUUUCUUUUUCUAUCAAUAAAGGACAAUGCCUCUACAUUUCUUUAUUAUACUUAUGCAUGCUUCUAUAGAAAUAUAGAAGCUAUGCUAAAAUCUUAUAAUAUUUUUUUGAAGACAUGAAUGCUCUAUAGAUAUAUAUCAAUCAAAUAUAUAAAAGUAUUUGAGCUUCAUAGCCUACCAGUGAUGUGGUUGUGGCUGCAGGUGUUUGGUUAAUUGGCAAAGUGGUGGCAGAAGUUGUCUGUGGUGUUGUGGUGGCUGGACCGGUUAUGAAUGAAGAAGGAUUGACAGCUCCAGAUGCUGCUAAGUUGCCUAUGGCUUGAGGUUGGGGUUCCACUUCAUCUAGGAUCCUU